rnacentral:rRNA from 1 species
CACGUAGGCGGCCUGGUAAGUCAGAUGUGAAAGCCCGGGGCUUAACCCCGGAAGUGCAUUUGAUACUGCUAGGCUUGAGUAUGGGAGAGGGGAGUGGAAUUCCUGGUGUAGAGGUGAAAUUCGUAGAUAUCAGGAGGAACACCGGUGGCGAAGGCGACUUCCUGGACCAAUACUGACGCUGAGGUGCGAAGGCGUGGGUAGCAAACA